UUACUCUUUCGAUUUUCAUGGGCCUAGCUCCUUAUGAGUGAUGGAUUCUCAUCAUGUUACACGUGAUGAGCCCGAAUAAAGUCCAACCCUACUUAAAGAUUUACAUACGUGAACUUUUAUGCUGAAGGGACUUUCCCAUCACGUUACAUGUGAUGGGCUCAUAUAAAGUCUGAAGCCUUCAAAAUUAGAUCGAAAGGUCACAUUUGUCACUGUUCAUUGGGUUGUUGGUUGAUUUCUAAAAUGUAUUAAAGCACGAUCAGAUCUGGAAAGAUCAAACGUAAGGCGUCUGGACUUUAAUGCCUAGGACAGGGAGUUCAUCAUUUAGGGGAACACCUUUGCUGCACAACGAGGUUUGCUUCAGGCUUUUCUGAUGCCUAGGACAGGGAGUUCAUCAUUUAGGGGAACUCAUUGAAUUAUUCUAUGCAUUUUCUCUUACCAACCCUUGAAAUUGUAUUUACACGAGCACUUUUCUCCAGUCAUCAAGUUAGUCUAAGUUACUGUAUGUUAGACAUCUCAAUGGCUUCGCACCAGGCUUCAGCUCUAUUAGGAAAAUUUUUCCACAUAAAACUUCAAAUAGUUGAUCAGUGGACAUGGCUCGACUCCCCCAGCAUAGAAUUAUCUAUGUAUUUUCUUAGUCAUGCAUCAUUGACCAGUUACGUCAGUAACCAAUUGCAUAUUCUUAGAUAAGAUGACAUCUUGUGAAGAAAUUUGGAUGACAACAAAGAAGAUGGAGUUAUGGAUGAACUUUUAUUUGCUUUAAUGGGUAUCAUGGAAC